UGCCCGCCUCAGCCUCCCAAAGUGCUGGGAUUACAGGGCGUGUCGAAGGUCUCGAGAAAUCUCUGCUGGUCCAUGGGGAUGGAGACCACCCUCCGGGAAGCCCCAUCAACCCUCGUCUGUCUGCAGGCAUCUGUCUGGCACACGCGGCUCGGGGAAGGACAGCUACUUCGAGAUUCCCUUGGCCCCUUCUAACCAUUACCCAGAUCGUCUGUGGGGCCAGUGCUGUCCACCUUCUGCUGCCCUCCCUGCAGCCCAGGCACUCAGGCUGUCUGCAGCUCCCAGCCCCAGGUGACCCGCCUGCUGCUGCCUCAUCACUGGACGU